rnacentral:rRNA from 1 species
AUAUUGGCGAGAGACCGAUAGCGAACAAGUACCGUGAGGGAAAGAUGAAAAGAACUUUGGAAAGAGAGUUAAACAGUACGUGAAAUUGCUGAAAGGGAAACGCUUGAAGUCAGUCGCGUCGUCCGGGAAUCAGCCUUCCUUCUGGUUGGUGUACUUCCUGGUCGACGGGCCAGCAUCAGUUUUGACCGGUGGAAAAAGUUCGAGGGAAUGUGGCACCUCCGGGUGUGUUAUAGCCCUCGUUCGUAUACAUCGGUUGGGACUGAGGAACUCAGCACGCCGCAAGGCCGGGAUUCGUCCACGUUCGUGCUUAGGAUGCUGGCAUAAUGGCUUUAAUCGACCCGUCUUGAAACACGGACC